GGGGGCCUGGAGGGUCCCCCAGAGCACCCUGGAGCCAGCCCCAUGCCCCCCCGCCUCCCUGGGGAUGCCUGGGCGGGCAGGACCCUUUGCGACACCCCACUGCACCGCAGCGUGGGGUGACGGGAUGGGGCAGGAGCACGGAGCCGGCGAGGAGCCCCCGAGCGCAGCCCAUGUCUUUCCCCAAAGCUUCCGAUUUCCCACCCCUUACCCCUUUCUUUCAUCCUGUGGGAUGGCGGAGAGAUCCCCCCACCCAGGGUGGCCUGGGAGGAGGACAGCACUCCCCAGGAGAGCAGCUCUCCGUGGGAACCCCAUGAGAUGUGUUGGUGGGCACGGUGCUGCCGGAACGCCGGGGCUGGGCUGGCAGCGAUGCUGCCGGUUCCUCAUCCCGUGGCACCGGUCGUGCUCCACCAUCGUGGCCCAUCCACCGGGCACCCUUCAGCCCUGGCACACGUGGGAAGGCUGUGCUGGGGAGCGGGCACGGGGCUGGGCGCGGGGCAGAGCUCCUUCCUCGGCUCUCUCCUGUCGCCCUCCCUGCUCUUCUCCUUUACUAGAUGCCGGGUGGUUAUCAGUGCGCCAAGAGGAGGAGGAGGAAGCUGUGAACUUCAUCCAGGCCUUGGUCAGCAGCCCAGAAAAGGUGCUGCUGGAAGAGGAGCCCAAUGGUGUGGCGGAAAGCCACGCUCACCAUCGCCGCCUCGCUCCUUCCCACCCCACUUCAGCUACUCGUCUUCCCUGGGGGUGACCCCGAGGAGGAGGAGGAGGAGGGCGUGCUGGGGAGCAUGGGGAGGGUUCUGAUGGAGCUCCGUGCCUAGGGCUUGCCGUGCGCCCCCUGAGGGACCAAAACAAGGAGAAGCUGUCUGAGAUGUGCAGUGCUCUUCCCAUUUGCCCUCCACCAGGCAGCCCGGACACCGGCACCCAGCCAGCUCUGAAGGUUCCUGAGCAUGGUCACGCUGGGCAGCAGCUCCAUGGAUCUUCUCGGGCUGCCAGAGCUCCUGGCAGGUCCUGUGGACCACCACGGCCACACAACGGAGCUGUACCAGAAGAUGACAGCUCCUGGCGUGAGAGCACAGAGCCGUUAUCUGCUGUGAAGAGCGACGUUCCUCCACCACAAAACUCACCCAGGACAGGCCGUGGUCUCCUGUGGAAGAGCGAGGUUCCUCCAAACUUCAGCCACGUUCACCGGAAGGCGGCAACGCCCCAAGGGGAGGCACGUGAGAAGGAACAUGGCCUUUGGUGUGCUCCUCAGCUCCUGCUCCGACAUCGCCCCCUGCUCACGUAAGGUCGUGCUUUGCAGCACUGGUUACGACAUUCUUUUUGGGCAACUCCCCUAUUUUUUUCCCCCUCCCUAACCUUUCUGAAGGAAUAAUUGCUUCAGAAGCAGCUUCCUGCUGCUUUCCCACAUUUUUAUGCUGCUAUUACAGAGGCAUCAGGACUUAACGAGUCAUUCUCCAAAUAACCUCAACCUCUUAAAACAACCCGGAGAAACGCACCGAACCCCAAUUCCAUUUCCAAGGGGAGAAAUAUGUAAAUCCAGUAUCUCUCUGCUAUUGCAGGCGGGGAUGAUGCUAGCGCAGCAUCAUCGUUAAGGGAAGAGCGUCAAACCGGUAUAAAAUGGACAAUUUGAGAACAAGACAGAAGAGCAGUUACAGAACGGACUGACACGCCGUCUCUGCCUGCGGCCAACGAAAGAGAGCCAAGUAUCAACACUAAAAAAAAAAAAAACCCAAAAAAUAAUCGCCGACCAACGAGGACGGCAGAGGGGACAUCGAUUAGUCGAGGUCACCAGCUCCUCGUAGGCUUUGUAAAAGUUAUUUCGAAACCUGAACUUUGGGCUCAUCUCGAUCUGACAGUAUCCCUUGAAACAAAAGGAACAUUUCAUUAUUCAAUUGAAAUGACUUGACCAGACACAUUCAACGUAAUUCAUCUAUCGGCCGCUUACAUUACACUUCAUGCAGUAUUACAGAAAUAAGAGACUGAUAUAAAAGCCAUCUGAAGACGCAGCGUCACAGUGAGAUAGUGCAAUGUGCCUCAGGACACGGAAACUUUAAUCUGUGGGUCCUCAAAUCAACAAAUUCAUCAAUGGAAAAGAAAAAAAAAAAAAAAAAUACCUUCAGCAAUACGCUUCCAGAGGGGGGAGACUAUGGCAUGGUUUUCAGCAUAGCAAAAGUGUGCACAGUGAAACGCAUCCGAGUUCAACCGGUUCGUGAAGUUUUUUUACAAUUUAGAAAGAACAAAACCAGGUCGUCUUCCUGCCCAAACAAGGGUAAAUCUACCAAGAACAAGAGGAGGUUUCUCAAAGGCACAGUCUCAACAGAUAACAGCUGUUACAGAGCAAGCAAUACGAGUUUGUAUUUCUGUGCCACGGAAUAAUUGAGAGAAUAUGCUAAAGUACUUAAAUUUCAAUUUUCUUUCUCCUUUUUUUUUUUUAAUACAGCAAAUUUUUUUUUUCCCCUGUGGGGAAUCUCUGCUAAUUUUACUUCUUUUGUGAGCAGCAUGUAUACGACGUACCUAUGACAAAAAAACCCAACUCAGUAUUGAGAAGCUAGUAACUUUUUAUAACAAAUCAUUUCUCGAGGAGAUGAGUCGUUAGAGCUGCGAAGUGACUCUGCCGUGAGAAAGGAAGUCUGAGGAUCCUGAGAG